rnacentral:rRNA from 1 species
GUGUGCCUAAUACAUGCAAGUCGAACGAAAAGGUUAGAUCUUCGGAAAUAACUGGAAAGUGGCGAACGGGUGAGUAACGCGUUGGUGACCUGCCCCAAAGAGAGGGACAACAGAACGAAAGAUCUGCUAAUACCUCAUGUGAUCAGAGUAGUAGAGAACUCUGAUUAAAGGAUUUAUUCACUUUGGGAGGGGCCUGCGUCCCAUCAGCUAGUUGGUAAGGUAAUGGCUUACCAAGGCAAUGACGGGUAGGGGACCUGAGAGGGUGGUC